GCUAUUUAAUAAUUAAAUUAUAAUUUUUACUAUUUUUUCCCAAAAUUAAAAAUUUGCUUUGGCCUGGAGUUGAACCAGGAUCUUUGGGUUAUUUUCCUAAUGCCUUCAUUUUGUACUGAAGGCAUUGGGAUGAUAACCCAAAGCUCGAUAACAAUAAAAGAAACCAGUAAACCCAAAGAUAGUAACAAGAAAACAAAACAGGAAUGUUUCAAAUUAGGUAGACCUCAUCAAGAUGUAUCCAGUUUGGGACAUCCCUGUUUUCUUUUCUUGUUUAUUUUCUGUCUUUUGAUGAGGUUGAGCUGAACUCUCAUUAUCUUCCUAAAAAGUAGUUAUUCAUUGAUGCAUUGUAUGAUAAAUAUAUUUGCAUAUCACAUUUUUGCAUAAAAAGAUCUGUGUGUCAGUUUGGUGCUAUGAUGGUCAGUGUAGAAUAAAUAAGGAUAGAAUUUGGCUGGAUUAGGAAUAUUAUGUAAAAAUUAUUUCAUUUUAAUUAAAAAUAAUG
rnacentral:lncRNA from 1 species